rnacentral:rRNA from 1 species
GGGGCUGUGAGACAGGUGCUGCAUGGCUGUCGUCAGCUCGUGUUGUGAAAUGUUGGGUUAAGUCCCGCAACGAGCGCAACCCUUAUCCUUUGUUGCCAGCGAUUAGGUCGGGAACUCAAAGGAGACUGCCAGUGAUAAACUGGAGGAAGGUGGGGAUGACGUCAAGUCAUCAUGGCCCUUACGACCAGGGCUACACACGUGCUACAAUGGCGCAUACAAAGAGAAGCGACCUCGC